rnacentral:rRNA from 1 species
UUAAGCGACUAAGCGUACACGGUGGAUGCCCUGGCAGUCAGAGGCGAUGAAGGACGUGCUAAUCUGCGAUAAGCGUCGGUAAGGUGAUAUGAACCGUUAUAACCGGCGAUUUCCGAAUGGGGAAACCCAGUGUGUUUCGACACACUAUCAUUAACUGAAUCCAUAGGUUAAUGAGGCGAACCGGGGGAACUGAAACAUCUAAGUACCCCGAGGAAAAGAAAUCAACCGAGAUUCCCCCAGUAGCGGCGAGCGAACGGGGAGGAGCCCAGAGCCUGAAUCAGUAUGUGUGUUAGUGGAAGCGUCUGGAAAGGCGCGCGAUACAGGGUGACAGCCCCGUACACAAAAAUGCACAUGCUGUGAGCUCGAUGAGUAGGGCGGGACACGUGGUAUCCUGUCUGAAUAUGGGGGGACCAUCCUCCAAGGCUAAAUACUCCUGACUGACCGAUAGUGAACCAGUACCGUGAGGGAAAGGCGAAAAGAACCCCGGCGAGGGGAGUGAAAAAGAACCUGAAACCGUGUACGUACAAGCAGUGGGAGCACGCUUAGGCGUGUGACUGCGUACCUUUUGUAUAAUGGGUCAGCGACUUAUAUUCUGUAGCAAGGUUAACCGAAUAGGGGAGCCGAAGGGAAACCGAGUCUUAACUGGGCGUUAAGUUGCAGGGUAUAGACCCGAAACCCGGUGAUCUAGCCAUGGGCAGGUUGAAGGUUGGGUAACACUAACUGGAGGACCGAACCGACUAAUGUUGAAAAAUUAGCGGAUGACUUGUGGCUGGGGGUGAAAGGCCAAUCAAACCGGGAGAUAGCUGGUUCUCCCCGAAAGCUAUUUAGGUAGCGCCUCGUGAAUUCAUCUCCGGGGGUAGAGCACUGUUUCGGCAAGGGGGUCAUCCCGACUUACCAACCCGAUGCAAACUGCGAAUACCGGAGAAUGUUAUCACGGGAGACACACGGCGGGUGCUAACGUCCGUCGUGAAGAGGGAAACAACCCAGACCGCCAGCUAAGGUCCCAAAGUCAUGGUUAAGUGGGAAACGAUGUGGGAAGGCCCAGACAGCCAGGAUGUUGGCUUAGAAGCAGCCAUCAUUUAAAGAAAGCGUAAUAGCUCACUGGUCGAGUCGGCCUGCGCGGAAGAUGUAACGGGGCUAAACCAUGCACCGAAGCUGCGGCAGCGACGCUUAUGCGUUGUUGGGUAGGGGAGCGUUCUGUAAGCCUGUGAAGGUGUGCUGUGAGGCAUGCUGGAGGUAUCAGAAGUGCGAAUGCUGACAUAAGUAACGAUAAAGCGGGUGAAAAGCCCGCUCGCCGGAAGACCAAGGGUUCCUGUCCAACGUUAAUCGGGGCAGGGUGAGUCGACCCCUAAGGCGAGGCCGAAAGGCGUAGUCGAUGGGAAACAGGUUAAUAUUCCUGUACUUGGUGUUACUGCGAAGGGGGGACGGAGAAGGCUAUGUUGGCCGGGCGACGGUUGUCCCGGUUUAAGCGUGUAGGCUGGUUUUCCAGGCAAAUCCGGAAAAUCAAGGCUGAGGCGUGAUGACGAGGCACUACGGUGCUGAAGCAACAAAUGCCCUGCUUCCAGGAAAAGCCUCUAAGCAUCAGGUAACAUCAAAUCGUACCCCAAACCGACACAGGUGGUCAGGUAGAGAAUACCAAGGCGCUUGAGAGAACUCGGGUGAAGGAACUAGGCAAAAUGGUGCCGUAACUUCGGGAGAAGGCACGCUGAUAUGUAGGUGAAGUCCCUUGCGGAUGGAGCUGAAAUCAGUCGAAGAUACCAGCUGGCUGCAACUGUUUAUUAAAAACACAGCACUGUGCAAACACGAAAGUGGACGUAUACGGUGUGACGCCUGCCCGGUGCCGGAAGGUUAAUUGAUGGGGUUAGCGGUAACGCGAAGCUCUUGAUCGAAGCCCCGGUAAACGGCGGCCGUAACUAUAACGGUCCUAAGGUAGCGAAAUUCCUUGUCGGGUAAGUUCCGACCUGCACGAAUGGCGUAAUGAUGGCCAGGCUGUCUCCACCCGAGACUCAGUGAAAUUGAACUCGCUGUGAAGAUGCAGUGUACCCGCGGCAAGACGGAAAGACCCCGUGAACCUUUACUAUAGCUUGACACUGAACAUUGAGCCUUGAUGUGUAGGAUAGGUGGGAGGCUUUGAAGUGUGGACGCCAGUCUGCAUGGAGCCGACCUUGAAAUACCACCCUUUAAUGUUUGAUGUUCUAACGUUGACCCGUAAUCCGGGUUGCGGACAGUGUCUGGUGGGUAGUUUGACUGGGGCGGUCUCCUCCUAAAGAGUAACGGAGGAGCACGAAGGUUGGCUAAUCCUGGUCGGACAUCAGGAGGUUAGUGCAAUGGCAUAAGCCAGCUUGACUGCGAGCGUGACGGCGCGAGCAGGUGCGAAAGCAGGUCAUAGUGAUCCGGUGGUUCUGAAUGGAAGGGCCAUCGCUCAACGGAUAAAAGGUACUCCGGGGAUAACAGGCUGAUACCGCCCAAGAGUUCAUAUCGACGGCGGUGUUUGGCACCUCGAUGUCGGCUCAUCACAUCCUGGGGCUGAAGUAGGUCCCAAGGGUAUGGCUGUUCGCCAUUUAAAGUGGUACGCGAGCUGGGUUUAGAACGUCGUGAGACAGUUCGGUCCCUAUCUGCCGUGGGCGCUGGAGAACUGAGGGGGGCUGCUCCUAGUACGAGAGGACCGGAGUGGACGCAUCACUGGUGUUCGGGUUGUCAUGCCAAUGGCACUGCCCGGUAGCUAAAUGCGGAAGAGAUAAGUGCUGAAAGCAUCUAAGCACGAAACUUGCCCCGAGAUGAGUUCUCCCUGACUCCUUGAGAGUCCUGAAGGAACGUUGAAGACGACGACGUUGAUAGGCCGGGUGUGUAAGCGCAGCGAUGCGUUGAGCUAACCGGUACUAAUGAACCGUGAGGCUUAACCUU